GCCGCCUUUAUCAUUAUUUGUUCGUCAUAUUUGAUUCUGAGCGAAUGGUCGAUCAUGAGGUUUCAAUCAUUUCGCAUAAGGGUAGGCGAGCAGCCACCUUCAUCUUUAUUUAUAUUGUCUAUUGGAUUCCAUGCGAAUGGUGGAUCAUGAGGAUUUCGACCAUUUCGCAUAAGGGUAGGCGAGCAGCUACCUUCAUCUCAAUCUAUGUUGUCUAUUUGAUUCCAGCGAAUGGUGGAUCAUGAGGUUUUCGACCAUAUCGCAUAAGGGUAGGCAAGCAGCCACCUUUAUCUCAAUCUAUAUUGUCUAUUUGAUUCCAUGUGAAUGGUGGAUCAUGAGGUUUUCAACCAUC
rnacentral:lncRNA from 1 species